rnacentral:rRNA from 1 species
UACAGAGGAGCCAGGCGUUGUCCGGAUUGACUGGGCGUAAAGCGCACGCAGGCGGAUGCGCGCGUGGGGUGUGAAAUCUGGCCGCUUAACGGCCAGGCGCCAUCCCAUACGGCGCGUCUGGAGUGAUGCAGAGGUCGGUGGAAUUGCCGGUGUAGUGGUGAAAUGCGUAGAGAUCGGCAGGAACACCCAGGGGGAAACCAGCCGACUGUGCAUCUACUGACGCUGAGGUGCGAGAGCGUGGGGAGCGAACCGG